rnacentral:ncRNA from 2 species
GAGGAACCCGGUGGAAGUCCGGGGCGGUUCCGCCACUGUGAGGCCCCUCCGCGCGAGGGGCCUAGCCAGAUACUC